CAUACUGUGAACUGCGAAUGGCUCAUUAAAUCAGUUAUCGUUUAUUUGAUAGUACCUUUACCUGGAUAACCGUGGUAAUUCUAGAGCUAAUACAUGCUAAAAACCCCGACUUCGGGAGGGGUGUAUUUAUUAGAUAAAAAACCGAUGCCCUUCGGGGCUCCUUGGUGAUUCAUAAUAACUUAACGAAUCGCAUGGCCUUGCGCCGGCGAUGGUUCAUUCAAAUUUCUGCCCUAUCAACUUUCGAUUGUAGGAUAGAGGCCUACAAUGGUCUUGACGGGUAACGGGGAAUUAGGGUUCUAUUCCGGAGAGGGAGCCUGAGAAACGUUUUAGGGAUCCAAGGAAGGCAGCAGGCGCGCAAAUUACCCAAUCCCGAUACGGGGAGGUAGUGACAAUAAAUACUGAUACGGGGCUCUUUCGGGUCUCGUAAUUGGAAUGAGUACAAUCUAAAUCCCUUAACGAGGAACAAUUGGAGGGCAAGUCUGGUGCCAGCAGCCGCGGUAAUUCCAGCUCCAAUAGCGUAUAUUAAAGUUGUUGCCGUUAAAAAGCUCGUAGUUGAACCUUGGCCCUGGCUGAUCUGUCCUCCUAAUCGAGCGCACGGAUUCGGUCGGGGCUUUCCUUCUGGGGAGCCCCAUGCCCUUCACUGGGUGUGGUGGGGAACCAGGACUUUUACCUUGAAAAAAUUAGAGUGUUCAAAGCAGGCCUUUGCUCGAAUACAUUAGCAUGGAAUAAUAGAAUAGGACAUCGGUUCUAUUUUGUUGGUUUCUAGGACCGCUGUAAUGAUUAAUAGGGACAGUCGGGGGCGUCAGUAUUCAAUUGUCAGAGGUGAAAUUCUUGGAUUUAUUGAAGACUAACUACUGCGAAAGCAUUCGCCAAGGAUGUUUUCAUUAAUCAGUGAACGAAAGUUAGGGGAUCGAAGACGAUCAGAUACCGUCGUAGUCUUAACCAUAAACUAUGCCGACUAGGGAUCGGACGGUGGUUUUUUUAUGCCCCGUUCGGCACCUUAC
rnacentral:rRNA from 1 species